rnacentral:rRNA from 1 species
AAGAGGAUGGGCAUGCGGCGCAUUAGCUAGACGGCGGGGUAACGGCCCACCGUGGCGACGAUGCGUAGGGGUUCUGAGAGGAAGGUCCCCCACACUGGUACUGAGACACGGACCAGACUCCUACGGGAGGCAGCAGUGAGGAAUAUUGGUCAAUGGGAGAGAUCCUGAACCAGCCAAGCCGCGUGAGGGAAGACGGCCCUAUGGGUUGUAAACCUCUUUUGUCGGAGAACAAAACCCGGGACGAGUCCCGGACUGCGUGUAUCCGAAGAAAAAGCAUCGGCUAACUCCGUGCCAGCAGCCGCGGUAAUACGGAGGAUGCGAGCGUUAUCCGGAUUUAUUGGGUUUAAAGGGUGCGUAGGCGGUCUGUUAAGUCAGCGGUAAAAUUGCGGGGCUCAACCCCGUCGAGCCGUUGAAACUGGCAGACUUGAGUUGGCGAGAAGUACGCGGAAUGCGCGGUGUAGCGGUGAAAUGCAUAGAUAUCGCGCAGAACUCCGAUUGCGAAGGCAGCGUACCGGCGCCAGACUGACGCUGAGGCACGAAAGCGUGGGAAUCGAACAGGAUUAGAUACCCUGGUAGUCCACGCAGU